AACGAACGCUGGCGGCAUGCCUAACACAUGCAAGUCGAACGAGACCUUCGGGUCUAGUGGCGCACGGGUUCGUAACGCGUGGGAACCUGCCCUUAGGGUCGGACUAACUCCCCGAAAGGGGUGCUAAUACCGGAUAAUGUCUUCGGACCAAAGAUUUAUCGCCUUUGGAUGGUCCCGCGUUGGAUUAGCUAGUUGGUAGGGUAAAAGCCUACCAAGGCGACGAUCCAUAGCUGGUCUGAGAGGAAGAUCAGCCACACUGGGACUGAGACACGGCCCAGACUCCUCCGGGAGGGAGCAGUGGGGAAUAUUGGACAAUGGGCGAAAGCAUGAACCAGCAAUGCCGCGUGAGUGAUGAAGGCCUGAGGGUUGUAAAGCUCUUUUACCCGGGAUGAUAAUGACAGUACCGGGAGAAUAAGCGCCGGCUAACUCCGUG
rnacentral:rRNA from 1 species